UGGCGACGCUGUCGUCUGGCGUAUACUUGCAGGUGAAGCGAACUGAUGAAAAGCUUGCUUUUGAUCAGUUAGCGGCGGACGGGUGAGUAACACGUGGGUAACCUGCCUGUAAGACUAGGAUAACUCCGGGAAACCGGGGCUAAUACUGGAUAACUUUUCUCUCCGCAUGGAGAGAGAUUGAAAGAUGGCUUCGGCUAUCACUUACAGAUGGACCCGCGGCGCAUUAGCUAGUUGGUGAGGUAACGGCUCACCAAGGCAACGAUGCGUAGCCGACCUGAGAGGGUGAUCGGCCACAUUGGGACUGAGACACGGCCCAAACUCCUACGGGAGGCAGCAGUAGGGAAUCUUCCGCAAUGGACGAAAGUCUGACGGAGCAACGCCGCGUGAGUGAAGAAGGUCUUCGGAUCGUAAAACUCUGUUGUUAGGGAAGAACAAGUAUCGUUCGAAUAGGGCGGUACCUUGACGGUACCUAACCAGAAAGCCACGGCUAACUACGUGCCAGCAGCCGCGGUAAUACGUAGGUGGCAAGCGUUGUCCGGAAUUAUUGGGCGUAAAGCGCGCGCAGGCGGUCUUUUAAGUCUGAU
rnacentral:rRNA from 1 species